rnacentral:rRNA from 1 species
AUACGUAGGUGGCAAGCGUUGUCCGGAAUUAUUGGGCGUAAAGCGCGCGCAGGUGGUUCCUUAAGUCUGAUGUGAAAGCCCCCGGCUCAACCGGGGAGGGUCAUUGGAAACUGGGGAACUUGAGUGCAGAAGAGGAUAGUGGAAUUCCAAGUGUAGCGGUGAAAUGCGUAGAGAUUUGGAGGAACACCAGUGGCGAAGGCGACUGUCUGGUCUGUAACUGACGCUGAGGCUCGCAAGCGUGGGGAGCAAACAGGAUUAUAUACCCUGGUAGCCCACGCUGUAAACGAUGAGUGCUAAGUGUUGGGAGGUUUCCGCCUCUCAGUGCUGCAGCUAACGCAUUAAGCACUCUGCCUGGGGAGUACGGUCGCAAGACUGAAACUCAAAUGAAUUGACGGGG